rnacentral:rRNA from 1 species
UACCAGCACCCCGAGUGGUCGGGACGUUUAUUGGGCCUAAAGCAUCCGUAGCCGGUUCUACAAGUCUUCCGUUAAAUCCACCUGCUUAACAGCUGGGCUGCGGAAGAUACUAUAGAGCUAGGAGGCGGGAGAGGCAAGCGGUACUCGAUGGGUAGGGGUAAAAUCCGUUGAUCCAUUGAAGACCACCAGUGGCGAAGGCGGCUUGCCAGAACGCGCUCGACGGUGAGGUAUGAAAGCGUGGGGAGCAAACCGG